rnacentral:rRNA from 1 species
UACGUAGGGAGCGAGCGUUGUCCGGAUUCAUUGGGCGUAAAGAGCUCGUAGGCGGCUUGAUAAGUCGGAUGUGAAACCUCCAGGCUCAACCUGGAGUCGCCAUCCGAUACUGUCAUGGCUAGAGUCCGGUAGGGGCCCACGGAACUCCUGGUGUAGCGGUGAAAUGCGCAGAUAUCAGGAAGAACACCGAUGGCGAAGGCAGGUGGCUGGGCCGGUACUGACGCUGAGGAGCGAAAGCGUGGGGAGCGAACAGG